UACCAGCACCCCGAGUGGUCGGGACGUUUACUGGGCCUAAAGCAUCCGUAGCCGGUUCUACAAGUCUUCCGUUAAAUCCACCUGCUUAACAGAUGGGCUGCGGAAGAUACUAUAGAGCUAGGAGGCGGGAGAGGCAAGCGGUACUCGAUGGGUAGGGGUAAAAUCCGUUGAUCCAUUGAAGACCACCAGUGGCGAAGGCGGCUUGCCAGAACGCGCUCGACGGUGAGGGAUGAAAGCUGGGGGAGCAAACCGG
rnacentral:rRNA from 1 species